rnacentral:rRNA from 1 species
GUCAGCGGUCACAGGAAGGGGGAAACACCUGAACUCAUUCCGAACUCAGAAGUUAAGCCCCUUCACGGUGUUGUGAUUACUGCCUUCCUGGCGGGAAAGCGCACUGCUGCUGACA